AUCAAAAAUUCCAUCCUAGGCUCUCUUCAUUCAUUUAUGCACAUGGCUUUAAUAAUCAGUUAUUUAUAAAUGACUGAUUUUUAUCUCUAUCCUAGUCCUUGACUGAGCUCCAGAUCCCUACUUUCAUUUUUACACCUCUUCAAUGCAUCAAAGGCAUCUAUAACCCAUCAUGUACAAAACCAAACUUCUAACUUUUCCAAUUCGGUGAAUGACAUUUAUCCAACUAUGCAAGUGGUGCUGUGAACUGUAUGAAACCUGUAAGUCAUCUUUGAUACUUCCUUCCCCCCUACCCCACAGAUCCUGUCCAUUUCCUAAAAAUCCCUUGAAUCUGUCCAUUUCUAUUUCCAUAACCACUUCCCAACAUUUCUUGCUUAGGUUACACCAUUACUCCCAUCCACUCUUGCCUCCUUCAAUCCAGUCUUCAUAUUACAACUAAAGUGAAUUUUCGAAAAUGUAAAGCUGAUCACAUGACUUGGCUAAGUAGUUCAAUGGCUUCUGAUUGCUCUUAAGAUAAAAACUCCAAGGCCCUUUGUGACCUCUUCCUACUACUCCAGCAUCACUCCACACCACUCUACUUUUUCUUUCUUUGAAAGAGCUGUAUUUCUCAGGCCACUGUAUCUCUGCAAAUGCUAUUUCCUGUCUUGAAAGCUCUUCCCUGACACCUACUUCUCAAUUAUCACCUCCUCAGAAAAGUCUACCCCAAUCUACACAAAUUAAAUCCUCCUUUAAUAAGCAUUUAUAGUAUCAAGUACAAGUUUCACAGCACUUAUCCAGUCUCAAUAUUAGGUUUUAUAUGUGUGGUCAGUUCGUCUCCCAUACUAGAGAACAGCUCCACAAGAGCAAAGACCAGGACGCUGUCCACGUCGAGACCCCACUGUACGGAAGGCGCUUUCAACGUUGGAAAUAGGUCUCGGCUUUUAGAAAACUGAGUUGUGGACGGAGUAAAAAGGAAAGAGGCAAGCAGCAGUGGAUGAGAAGCUACCCCUUCUUCAUAGUUAAAAGCAGAAUGGUUUGAACGUGAAGAGUUUUAAUGAGCUAAGGAAAGAGGUGGUAAAGAAUUAGGAUUAAGAAUAUAGAUGCCACCCCAGCCUGGGCGAC